rnacentral:tRNA from 1 species
GGGCGAGUGGCGGAACUGGCAGACGCGCUAGACUUAGGAUCUAGUGGAUAUCCGUGGGGGUUCAAAUCCCCCCUUGCCCACCA